GUUCUCUGUCAACAAUUUGAUGUUAUGGCACCGUACACUCAAGUCACAAAUGGGCAGUGGCGUAAUCUUGAUCCUUUGGGUCAUGGGAGCUGAUCGAAAUGCAGGUGCGAGGAACAAUGAUUUCUACCAGGCCCUGAACAUCCCACAGAAACAAAAAUGGAAAAGCUGAAAUAAUUUAUGCAAAAUACAAAUUAUUUGCUGUAGCCAGUAAUCUGGGUUGAGGUGGAAGACACGGGACCAGAGAUGAUGAUGGUAGUAGGCUUCUUACCCAGUCAUAGGAGACUUGAAAGUUUAGUGGGUGAACACAAGAUAGGCUUCUUCCAUUUUUGUUUUUUGAAGGAAAAUAAUUUUGCUGUAGUUCUUUUUUUUUUUUUUGACCUAAGACUCCUGCUAUUGUUCCCUAAGAGAAGUGCGGAGGAUCUUUCAGAGGAAGCAGAUGAGGUUUGAAAGAUAUUUGUUUGUUUGAUUUAAGGGUUAGCAUCUCAUGUGGCCAUAUCUAGUUAUGGUGA